CCUACGGGAGGCAGCAGUGAGGAAUAUUGGUCAAUGGCCGGAAGGCUGAACCAGCCAAGUCGCGUGAGGGACGACUGCCCUAUGGGUUGUAAACCUCUUUUAUAUGGGAAGAAUAAAUGCUACGUGUAGCAUGAUGCCUGUACCUUAUGAAUAAGCAUCGGCUAACUCCGUGCCAGCAGCCGCGGUAAUACGGAGGAUGCGAGCGUUAUCCGGAUUUAUUGGGUUUAAAGGGUGCGUAGGCGGUCUUUUAAGUGAGUGGUUAAACGUCGGGGCUUCACCUUGAAUUGCCAUUAAUACUGGAAGGCUUGAGUUCAGAAGAGGUAGGCGGAAUAAGUGAAGUAGCGGUGAAAUGCUUAGAUAUCACUUAGAACUCCGAUAGCGAAGGCAGCUUACUGGACUGCAACUGACGCUGAUGCACGGGAGCGUGGGUAGCGAACAGGAUUAGAUACCCGAGUAGUC
rnacentral:rRNA from 1 species